rnacentral:rRNA from 1 species
GAUGAACGCUGGCGGCGUGCCUAACACAUGCAAGUCGAGCGAUUUACUUCGGUAAAGAGCGGCGGACGGGUGAGUAACGCGUGGGUAACCGGCCCUGUACACACGGAUAACAUACCGAAAGGUAUGCUAAUACGAGAUAAUAUACUUUUAUCGCAUGGUAGAAGUAUCAAAGCUUUUGCGGUACAGGAUGGACCCGCGUCUGAUUAGCUAGUUGGUAAGGUAACGGCUUACCAAGGCGACGAUCAGUAGCCGACCUGAGAGGGUGAUCAGCCACAUUGGAACUGAGACACGGUCCAAACUCCUACGGGAGGCAGCAGUGGGGAAUAUUGCACAAUGGGCGAAAGCCUGAUGCAGCAACGCCGCGUGAGCGAUGAAGGCCUUCGGGUCGUAAAGCUCUGUCCUCAAGGAAGAUAAUGACGGUACUUGAGGAGGAAGCCCCAGCUAACUGCGUGCCAGCCGCCGCCGUAAAAC